ACGAAGUUUUUCGGAACUUAGUGGCGGACGGGUGAGUAACGCGUGAGAAUCCGCCUUAAGGAUUGGGACAACAGGGGGAAACCGCUGCUAAUACCAAAUAUGCCUUUUAGUGAAACGGGUAAAACCGCCUUAAGAUGAGCUCGCGUCUGAUUAGCUAGUAGGUGUGGUAAGAGCGCACCUAGGCGACGAUCAGUAGCUGGUCUGAGAGGACGACCAGCCACACUGGGACUGAGACACGGCCCAGACUCCUACGGGAGGCAGCAGUGAGGAAUUUUCCGCAAUGGGCGAAAGCCUGACGGAGCAAUACCGCGUGAGGGAGGAAGGUUCUUGGAUUGUAAACCUCUUUUCUCAGAGAAGAAUAAUGACGGUAUCUGAGGAAUAAGCAUCGGCUAACUCCGUGCCAGCAGCCGCGGUAAUACGGAGGAUGCAAGCGUUAUCCGGAAUGAUUGGGCGUAAAGGGUCUGUAGGUGGUUGUUCAAGUCUGCUGUUAAAGCGUCUGGCUUAACCAGAUAAAGGCGGUGGAAACUGAACGACUAGAGUGCGGUAGGGGUAGAGGGAAUUCCCAGUGUAGCGGUGAAAUGCGUAGAUCUUGGGAAGAACACCUGUGGCGAAAGCGCUCUACUGGACCGCGACUGACACUGAUGGACGAAAGCUAGGGGAGCGAAUGGGAUUAGAUACCCCAGUAGUCCUAGCCGUA
rnacentral:rRNA from 1 species